rnacentral:rRNA from 1 species
CCUACGGGAGGCUGCAGUGAGGAAUAUUGGUCAAUGGACGAGAGUCUGAACCAGCCAAGUCGCGUGAAGGAUGACUGCCCUAUGGGUUGUAAACUUCUUUUAUAUGGGAAUAAAAUGUUCCACGUGUGUGAUUUUGUAUGUACCCUAUGAAUAAGGAUCGGCUAACUCCGUGCCAGCAGCCGCGGUAAUACGGAGGAUCCGAGCGUUAUCCGGAUUUAUUGGGUUUAAAGGGAGCGUAGGUGGAUUGUUAAGUCAGUUGUGAAAGUUUGCGGCUCAACCGUGAAAUUGCAGUUGAUACUGGCAGACUAGAGUACAGUAGAGGUGGGCGGAAUGCGUGGUGUAGCGGUGAAAUGCUUAGAUAUCACGAAGAACACCGAUUGCGAAGGCAGCUCACUGGACUGUAACUGACACUGAGGCUCGAAAGUGUGGGUAGCAAACAGGAUUAGAUACCCUUGUAGUC